GGCUAAAAUCCCGCCAGUGCAGGUUAUUUUACUCAAAGCGUGGCUAUCAGGGAUCAUUUCUCAUUUCAACUUCUUACCGAGUUCCAACAAAAGAUCAUCAUGAUUGCAUUCAUUCUGAUGAGCGUGGAUUGCCAUAAAAUGAAAUUUCAGGACCCAGGAACUUGAACUUUGAACUUUACAAUGGCGUGAGCUGAUUGAUAUUCUCAAAUCCCAAGUUAUGGACACUUGAGGCUGAAAUAGGUUUAAAGAGGUAAUU